GAGGGGGGCAGUUGGGACUUGGGGGUGGGGUGUAGGAGGACCGGGACUGUCGCAUCUGCCUCCCACUGCCUCUCUGUGGCUCUGGGUGGCCCCUCAGCACCAGUGGAGGGAAGAACGGAGGAGGGAAGGCAAAGAUGGGAAGGAAGGGUACUGGGCAGGUGAUGCCAUUCCCCCACCUACCUGGUCCCCAGGGGUGCUGUGCCCGGGGCGGAUCAAGUGGGCAGAGCACCUAUGUGACACUCCCCUGUAGGGGAAGGAGGACACCCCAACCCAGUUUCUGCCACAAAGGCAAGGCAGAAGGGAGCCCAGAGGAGGGAAGAGAUACCUGUACACCCAGGGUGGCUCUUGGGGUGGCUCAGUCCCCUCUCCCACCACUCCCUGGGACUUUUGCCCCCCCCUCCCCCCUUCUUACUCCUCCACCCUCCCAGUCUCUGUGAUCCCUCCACUGCGGGUCCUUUGCACGUGUUGUUUGUUUGUCUAUUGAUUGAUCGACAAGUAAUCAUCAAACAUCCCAGGCAUAGGCAACUCAGUGGUGAGCAAGGCAGACCCAGUCUGGGACUUCCAGACCAGCGCAGGGACACAGAUGAUGAACGAUAGUCCAGAAGGGAAUGAGGCAUAGGAAUGGGAGACAACCUUGGGUGGGCAUGAAGGAACGGUUCACUGGAGAGGUGACAGUGAAUCAGAGGGAUUAAUGCCUCCUCAAACUUUGGGUCCCAGUCACCUCCUCCUGGAAGCCUUCCCUGACCUCACUGACCUGACCCUUCCCCUGUUGACAGGCUGUCGUAACCUGGGGACCACUCCCUCCACGGACAUUUUUAUGUCACUAUUGGGUUAAUGUUUGUUUCCCUCCAUCAGAUCGUUUCCCCCCUACCGGAAAUCUGAUGGGCUUAUGACAUCAUGGCUGGCUGCUGAGCGAUGAAGUGGAUGCCACAAAGAAAUCCGACAUAUCAGAUGGAUUCUGAAAUCAGUUUCCCUCUGGCUGCGGUAACAGGCGUGAAGUCAGGAGAAUGUGAGCUUUGUUUAAGAAACAAAAAAUAAAACUAAGCCCUGUCCCGUAUUCGAUACAAUUUUUUUUUUUUUUUAAGCAAACAGACCUUUUGGACAUCAUCCUAUUUUAAUAAAGACGCUGGCGCGUAUGAAAUGAAAGCGGCUAAUAAAUCAGACCUGAAGCUGCCUGUGAACAUUCCCUUUUGGCUGAGUUUUUGUGUGUCCUUCUUCACUAAUAAAAGAGGAACUGGGAA